AUUGAACGCUGGCGGCAGGCCUAACACAUGCAAGUCGAGCGGAUGAAGGGAGCUUGCUCCUGGAUUCAGCGGCGGACGGGUGAGUAAUGCCUAGGAAUCUGCCUGGUAGUGGGGGAUAACGUCCGGAAACGGGCGCUAAUACCGCAUACGUCCUUAGGGAGAAAGUGGGGGAUCUUCGGACCUCACGCUAUCAGAUGAGCCUAGGUCGGAUUAGCUAGUUGGUGGGGUAAAGGCCUACCAAGGCGACGAUCCGUAACUGGUCUGAGAGGAUGAUCAGUCACACUGGAACUGAGACACGGUCCAGACUCCUACGGGAGGCAGCAGUGGGGAAUAUUGGACAAAGGGCGAAAGCCUGAUCCAGCCAUGCCGCGUGUGUGAAGAAGGUCUUCGGAUUGUAAAGCACUUUAAGUUGGGAGGAAGGGCAGUAAGUUAAUACCUUGCUGUUUUGACGUUACCAACAGAAUAAGCACCGGCUAACUUCGUG
rnacentral:rRNA from 1 species